AAUAGCAGAAGUGCAAAUCAUAAGGAGACAGGGCCAGGCAGUCAAGAAACUCCUUGCAAAGUUGAGUACACAUAAUGCAUCAGCAGCAGAGGUGAUUAAAUCCAGCUCCUUAAUUUUCAGGUCAUACAACAUUCAGACACUAGAGGAAUGGACUAACUAUCUAUUACUGAAAAAAUGGUUCACCAAUUUGGACAAAAUUAAUCAACUUAAGUCCAUUUCCUUUGUAGAAAUGAUUGAAAUCAUUUAGGUAAUUAGGACAUUAUAUAAUAAAAAAUAUUAGUGUUCUGCUCAGUUUGAGAUGGUUUAAAUUUACAAAAGAAAAACAAAUCUUUUGCUGCUCCAUAAUUAUAGAUUAAAAUUUCAGUCUUUAUUUGUCAAGCAAUAUCCACACCACAAAGCAAACUAUAGAUAAAAAUCAAAAUGUAUUAACCUAUGAUCAUUAAAUGCAGAUAAACAGAGUGAUCAUCCUCAGAAAUAUCACAAUAAGAAAAAGUACCCACCCAGAUGCAAGAAGUGAUCCUGUC
rnacentral:misc_RNA from 1 species